GACGAACGCUGGCGGCGUGCUUAACACAUGCAAGUCGAACGGAAAGGCCCUGCUUUUGUGGGGUGCUCGAGUGGCGAACGGGUGAGUAACACGUGAGUAACCUGCCCUUGACUUUGGGAUAACUUCAGGAAACUGGGGCUAAUACCGGAUAGGAGCUCCUGCUGCAUGGUGGGGGUUGGAAAGUUUCGGCGGUUGGGGAUGGACUCGCGGCUUAUCAGCUUGUUGGUGGGGUAGUGGCUUACCAAGGCUUUGACGGGUAGCCGGCCUGAGAGGGUGACCGGCCACAUUGGGACCGAGGUACGGCCCAGGCUCCUUCGGGAGGGAACAGUUGGGAAUAUUGCACAAUGGGCGGGAGCCUGAUGCAGCCACGCCGGGUGCGGGAUGACGGCCUUCGGGUUGUAAACCGCUUUCGCCUGUGACGAAGCGUGAGUGACGGUAAUGGGUAAAGAAGCACCGGCUAACUACGUG
rnacentral:rRNA from 1 species